AUCAUUUACCAUCUGCUGUAAAGUUUCAUAAGCCAGCUGAGAAACAAACGGUUUCCUUUGCUUAUUCGCCCUUAAAGUGAGGUGUUCUCUUCUCUUUCCCUUCUUUUAUUCUUAUGGUUCUCAUAGGAGAUAUCCCACAAAAGGAUUGAAAGACAAUCUUUUGGACACUUAGAGCAUUUUACUAAUAACCAGCAUUGGCCCUUCCUAGGAGUAAAAUCCCAUUUUGGUACAGCACAAGUAACUCUGGGGACAUCUCCUUUCUCUCCAUGGUCCACACAUGGUGAAACCGAAGAGACUCUUACCCGCUUCCUCCUUUCACAUUUCUUGAGAGCGAGAAGUGAGUGAAGGGACAGAUGGGGCCUGGUUUCUGUGCCGGAUGGGGUAAGGUGACAGCAGAGCAAAUAAACCUUCCUAUCUAGGACCUGUAGGUACCUGCAACCUUCUUUCAAUUUCAGGCCUAUGUAAUUGCCAUAGAUUAUCUAUAACCUGACACUCCAACCCCAGAGCCUCCUCCAGACACUGGCCCUUACUAGCAAUUAUUUCUCCCCAAGUCAUAAUGUUCUAGAACUAGAAUUCUCGUGUGGGGAGGGCUUACAUAGUCAGAACAGUCAAUCAUCAAGUAGAGAAGACUGGAGGCGGAAGCAAGUGGUUUACUUAUUUGCCAGAUCCUCUGUUUCAACUCCCAGACAGCACUGCCCACCCUUAUCAGCCGUGCUGUACUUGGAAUCUCAGGGUCAAGGCUCACAAGAUGAGGAGAGGACACAUCACCAGGGCACGUUGCUGGUGUUUUGCUCAAAAAGGAAUUUGCUUUCAAACAGACAUGCAUUCACUAAUCUCUUUUCUUUAAAAGAAAAAGAAAGAAAGAAAGAAAGAAAGAAAGAAAGAAAGAAAGAAAGAAAAAAGAGAAACAAGGGAUAAAUGAAAGGAAAAAUCAUAGAUUUUAUUUAUGACUUU
rnacentral:lncRNA from 1 species